UACGGGGGGGGCAAGCGUUGUUCGGAAUUACUGGGCGUAAAGGGUGCGUAGGCGGCGCGGUAAGUCGGGUGUGAAAUCUCGGAGCUUAACUCCGAAACUGCAUUCGAUACUGCCGUGCUUGAGGACUGGAGAGGAGACUGGAAUUUACGGUGUAGCGGUGAAAUGCGUAGAUAUCAGGAGGAACACCUGCGGUGUAGACGGCUUACUGGACCAUCACUGACGCUGAGGCACGAAAGCGUGGGUAGCAAACAGG
rnacentral:rRNA from 1 species